CCUACGGGAGGCAGCAGUGAGGAAUAUUGGUCAAUGGACGCGAGCCUGAACCAGCCAAGUCGCGUGCGGGAAGACGGUCCUAUGGAUUGUAAACCGCUUUUGUCGGGGGGCAAACGCAGCCACGCGUAGCGUUCCGAGAGUACCCGACGAAAAAGCAUCGGCUAACUCCGUGCCAGCAGCCGCGGUAAUACGGAGGAUUCAAGCGUUAUCCGGAUUUAUUGGGUUUAAGGGGUGCGAAGGCGGAAGAUCAAGUUAGCGGUAAAAUUGGGAGGCUCAACCUCUUCGUGCCUUUGAUACUGGUUGUCUAGAGUGAGUGAGAGGUAUGCGGAAUGCGUGGUGUAGCGGUGAAAUGCAUAGAUAUCACGCAGAACUCCGAUUGCGAAGGCAGCAUACCGGCGUUCAACUGACGCUGAUGCACGAAAGCGUGGGGAGCGAACAGGAUUAGAUACCCCUGUAGUC
rnacentral:rRNA from 1 species